UACGUAGGGUGCAAGCGUUAAUCGGAAUUACUGGGCGUAAAGCGUACGCAGGCGGCUUUGCAAGACAGGUGUGAAAGCCCCGGGCUUAACCUGGGAAUGGCCAUGGAAACUGGCGAGCUGGAGUGUGGCAGAGGGGGGUGGAAUUCCGCGUGUAGCAGUGAAAUGCGUAGAGAUGCGGAGGAACACCGAUGGCGAAGGCAGCCCCCUGGGCUAACACUGACGCUGAGGCACGAAAGCGUGGGGAGCAAACAGG
rnacentral:rRNA from 1 species